rnacentral:rRNA from 1 species
AAUCAACGCUGGCGGCGUGCCUAACACAUGCAAGUCGAACGCGAAAGCCCCGCAAGGGGUAAGUAGAGUGGCAAACGGGUGAGUAACACGUGGGUGACCUGCCUUCGAGUGGGGGAUAACGUCCCGAAAGGGACGCUAAUACCGCAUGACAUCCUGCUUUUGAAAAAGCGGAGAUCAAAGCUGGGGAUCGCAAGACCUAGCGCUUGAAGAGUGGCCCGCGCCUGAUUAGCUAGUUGGCGAGGUAACGGCUCACCAAGGCGACGAUCAGUAUCCGGCCUGAGAGGGCGGACGGGCACACUGAGACUGAGACACGGCCCAGACUCCUACGGGAGGCAGCAGUGGGGAAUUGUGCGCAAUGGGCGCAAGCCUGACGACGCAACGCCGCGUGGAGGAAGAAGAUCUUCGGGUCGUAAACUCCUGUCGGGCGGGACGAACGCUUCGCGGAUGAAUAAUCCGCGGAAUUGACGGUACCGCUAAAGGAAGCCCCGGCUAACUCCG